rnacentral:rRNA from 1 species
AUUGAACGCUGGCGGCAUGCCUUACACAUGCAAGUCGAACGGCAGCGGGCCUUCGGGUGCCGGCGAGUGGCGAACGGGUGAGUAAUGCAUCGGAACGUGCCAUUGAGUGGGGGGAUAACGUAGCGAAAGUUGCGCUAAUACCGCAUAUUCUGUGAGCAGGAAAGCAGGGGACCGCAAGGCCUUGCGCUCUUUGAGCGGCCGAUGUCAGAUUAGCUAGUUGGUGAGGUAAAGGCUUACCAAGGCGACGAUCUGUAGCGGGUCUGAGAGGAUGAUCUGCCACACUGGAACUGAGACACGGUCCAGACUCCUACGGGAGGCAGCAGUGGGGAAUUUUGGACAAUGGGGGCAACCCUGAUCCAGCCAUGCCGCGUGAGUGAAGAAGGCCUC